rnacentral:misc_RNA from 1 species
GAAAUGCGAUAAGUAAUGUGAAUUGCAGAAUUCCGUGAAUCAUCGAAUCUUUGAACGCACAUUGCGCCCCCUGGCAUUCCGGGGGGCAUGCCUGUCCGAGCGUCAUUUCUGCCCUCAAGCGCGGCUUGUGUGUUGGGUGUGGUCCCCCCGGUGUUGGGGGGACCUGCCCGAAAGGCAGCGGCGACGUCCCGUCUAGGUCCUCGAGCGUAUGGGGCUUUGUCACCCGCUCGGGAGGGGCCUGCGGGCGUUGGCCACCCACGAUAUUUUUUUACCGUUGACCUCGGAUCAGGUAGGAGUUACCCGCUGAACUUAAGC